UACGAAGGGUGCAAGCGUUGUUCGGAAUUAUUGGGCGUAAAGGGCGCGUAGGCGGGUAUGUAAGUCGACUGUGAAAGACCUGGGCUCAACCCGGGAGUGGCAGUCGAUACUGCAUGUCUUGAAUGUCUGGAGGGGGAGGUGGAAUUCCAGGUGUAGAAGUGAAAUUCGUAGAUAUCUGGAGGAACAUCCGAGGCGAAGGCGGCCUCCUGGCAGCACAUUGACGCUACGGCGCGAAAGCGUGGGUAGCAAACAGG
rnacentral:rRNA from 1 species